rnacentral:lncRNA from 1 species
CAAAGGGGAGAGAAGGUCCUGCUGUCUAUGGGCAAGCCUGAGCACAGAGGCUGCUCUGCUGGUGGGGGUGGGGUCACUUCUCUCAGCCCCAGACUGUCAGCUCUCAGGAUUAUCCACCUCGGCUCCUGGUUGCAGCAACUGCUGUGGCAGUAUGUGGAGCGAGCACCUCUGGCUCCCAACUUCUCCUGACUGAGCUGGCCACUCGCUUCCUUCUCCUCUGUGCCUCAGGCGCUUGCUGAGACUUCUCUGUUGGACUCUAGUGCUCUCUCCUGGAUGUUCUAUUCGAGGUGUGCUUAUCUCUUCAUAAUUUUGGGUCUUCUUUCUGGAGAGGCUCUGCCGCACUAAGCUCUCUACAUGGCCGAGGCACCAGACCAGAAUGCGCCCUUUCGACAGGCAGAGAGAGCCAAAGGGGAAAAGAGCUGAGUCAAGGCUGCCAAGUUCCUGCUUCCAGCCCUACCAGCCGGUCACUCGCGCCUUGCAAUGAGGAAACCAGGAGUCCUAUCUAGGUCUCACUGUGUCCUCCAGGCUGGAGUGCAGUGGCAUGAUGACAGCUCAAAGCAGCCUCAACCUCCCAGGCUCAAGUGAUCCUCCUACCUCAGCCUCCUGAGUUCCUGAGUAGCUGGGACUGCAGGCAAGCACUACCAUACCCCGCUAAUUUUUUAAAAAAGUUUUUUGCCAGGCGCAGUGGCUCACGCCUGUAAUCCCAGCACUUUGGGAGUCCAAGGUGGGCGGAUCACGAGGUCAGGAGUUCGAGACCAGCCUGACCAACAUGAUGAAACCCCAUCUCUACUAAAAAUACAAAAAUUAGCCAGGUGUGGUGGUGCGCACCUGUAAUCUCAGCUACUCAGGAGGCAGAGGCAGGAGAAUCACUUGAACCUGGGAGGCGGAGGUUGCAGAGAGCUGAGAUUGCUCCACUGCACUCCAGCCUGGGCAAAG